ACCAUCACUCAGAAGCGAAGUACUGCAUGGAUGAAUUUCACUAUACCAUCGGGUGAUUGCCCCCCAAAAAAGUUUCUAUUUGAGCAUAAUGCCGAUGAGAGACAACGUCAAGACAAAGCAACUUGCCUGAAAUUGCCAGCUCUGUGCUGCAUACCUGACAAGAGCUCCCACAGGCCCAGUCCUUGAAAUUGGAUGGUGAUGGCUUAGUCGUAGAGUGAGAGUUUAGAGCUGCCAAAGCCAUUGAUAUCUGCGUGAGGAAGAUUAUCUCCUCCCGCCAGUGCUUGUCCCUUCGUACAAAGGAAACCCACUCUGUGACGUCCACCAGGUUUACAGGUACCAACUCUUGACAAUACUUUAGUGGAAGAAUCUAAUCGAGCCUAACAAAUGGCAAGAGUGGCACAGAGCAUGGGAGGAAGUUUCUGUCUGUAUUUGGAAAUCUGUGAAGUUCCUGUUAUGUACCAUUUAAGAAGAUGGAUCAAAAGCAUUGUCAUGCCCAACCCCACCUUCAAACAGACAUGCUGGGACUCACCUUUCUAAGGAGAAUAAUACUACAUAAAUCAUACUAGCACUCAAUGUCAUUAAUUUAUCUAGGAAAGUACUUUCAUGGCAACAUAAGAGUUCCACCAUAUAAGAAAUUUUCCAUUGUGUGCUCGUACGUCAAAAGAUGCUGAUAAAAUGGUUAACGAGACUACAUUAACUCCCAAAAACAUAAGAUUACUACCAAAUUAGAAGUAUUUCUUAUAAUAUGAAAUAGAGAAAAAGCAUAUCGAUAAAUGUACAAUUGACAUUUUGAAAACUGCAUCUUUGCUUUUUCUUUUUUUUCGGCUUAGUCUGUUGAGCCUUAGCCUUUUGCUUCUUCUCGUAUUUUCGCUUUCUAGUUGCAUCAAUAGGAUAGAGGCAAAUUUAGAAGCUACGAAGGAUUCCAUGAAAGAGUUCGCUCCUCUCUAUCGCAUCAAUCAUGACGGCAAUUUGUUCGGUUCAAUAUUGUUGUCUUCACUUUAGAAAACAAUCUAAAUCCCGCAUCGUGUUAAUGAUUGUGCAUUUUGUUUGAAGAAAUGCACGCUGGUCAAUUAUGAAGAAAAUAAAGGCAGUGUAUACUUUUUCUCAAUCAUCAAGCGUACAUAGGUGUAAUAAUUGUACUAAACAGUUGAUAUUGCAGUUUUUUCACCUCUCAGUGUAGAUAAGCAGUUGUUUUUUACUAAAUUGAGUUGAAUGGAUUUCCAUA